rnacentral:rRNA from 1 species
CUUACACCGCCCGUCACACCAUGGGAGUUGGUUUUACCUCAAGACGGUGUGCUAACCAGCAAUGGAGGCAGCCGGCCACGGUAAGGUCAGCGACUGGGGUG